rnacentral:rRNA from 1 species
UACGUAUGGUGCAAGCGUUAUCCGGAUUUACUGGGUGUAAAGGGAGCGUAGGCGGCGCGUUAAGUCUGAUGUGAAAACCCGAGGCUCAACCACGGGAGUGCAUUGGAAACUGGCGGGCUGGAGUGCCGGAGAGGUAAGCGGAAUUCCUAGUGUAGCGGUGAAAUGCGUAGAUAUUAGGAGGAACACCAGUGGCGAAGGCGGCUUACUGGACAGCAACUGACGCUGAGGCUCGAAAGCGUGGGGAGCAAACAGG